AUGGCUGAUGGACCUGCGAGCCCGGCGUCGGUGUCCUCCAGGCCCCAGCCUAUCGUCUCCGGGCUUGGGCUGUCGGGCUCGUCUGGAUCUGAGGGAGGUUCGAACGGUGCUGGAGGUGCACCGGCUGGCGCCAACCCUGGGCCGGCUGCCGGAUCUGCCGUUCCAUGGCGCAAGCCGGGACCUUCGCGCAAGGCUCUAUGGCGCAAGAGGAAGGCUUUCCAGAAGAUGGCGGCGGCGGGAGGAUCCAGGUCGCGCUCACCAGCCGCGUCGCCGGAGAGGAGGGAGAUCCCGGCUGACUUGUUCGGCCUUUGCUUCAAGUGCUUUCGGGAGGGACACAGGAGAGAUGACUGCGAAUUUCCCCCGCUCCGCAUCCGGUGCGCCCUGGAGGGCCACAUCUCCACGGAGUGCAAGCGACCGAGGAGUCCAAGGUCGGAGGAAGAACUCCGGUGA
rnacentral:rRNA from 1 species